GGACUACAGGGGUUUCUAAUCCUGUUUGCUCCCCGAGCUUUCGAACCUCAGCGUCAGGAAUGCCCCAGAAAGUCGCUUUCGCCACUGGUGUUCCUCCGAAUAUCUACGCAUUUCACCGCUACACUCGGAAUUCCACUUUCCUCUGACAUCCUCCAGUCAGUCAGUUUUCGGUCCACUCCUGAGGUUGAGCCUCAGUCUUUAAGACCAAACUUAACUAACCGCCUACGUUCUCUUUACGCCCAAUAAUUCCGGACAACGCUCGCAUCCUACGUAUUACCGCGGCUGCUGGCAC
rnacentral:rRNA from 1 species